CAGAACUCUGACAAAUAAUAGUCAU
rnacentral:piRNA from 1 species